ACACAGACGCACACUUCCCCAGGCCCUUGGCUACUUCACUGUCAAUCAAGUACUGAAUAAGAGAUAGCCCUCUCCUGGGGGGCCGUGGCCCUCUUGGAUAGCAGGGAGAAGUUCUGGGAAGGAUGCAUUAUGAAGGCAAAAGGAAAAUUCUACUAUGGGUGGAAUGGAAUAACAUUUGUUGACAAGAUGGAUGCUGGGUUUUUGGUGAUCGCUAUCACGCAACAAAGGUUUGCUUCUCCCGGCCAGCUGGUUAGCUGCACGGCCCCGAGACCACCAGGAGACAUGCAGAGAUGGCAGAUGCCAUGCUUCAUGGGAAGAGAAGAUGGACUGUGGUGACAGACCAUAUAGCUGUCCCCUCUUCUCGUGCCAUCCUUCCCUGUGUCCCUGCCUUUGUGUAAUCCCGCUCCCCUCAGCAUAACUAAUAAAAUAUGGCAAACACGGUGGGAUGCCACUCUGUGAUUAUUUAAGCAAGACUCCCACCUUGCUAGUGGAUUUACCCAUAGUCUCUCUCCCCUCGUUGGCCAAGGGAACCGAUGGAUCCUACAGUUGAAAGGAAUCAAACACUAUCUGCAACCAGGUACGUGAGGAAGCAGAUACUUUCCUGGGUUAGCCUCUGAUGAGAACCCAGCUCUGGCCAACAUACUGGCCACAGCCUUGGGAGACUCUGGGCAGAAGACCCGGCUAAGCAGUGCUUGGACUCCUGGCCCACAGAAAAUAUGGGACCAUAAGUGUCUGUUCUGUUCAGCCACUGAGUUUGUGGUAAU